GAUGAACGCUGGCGGCGUGCCUAAUACAUGCAAGUCGAGCGAACAGAUGAGGAGCUUGCUCCUCUGACGUUAGCGGCGGACGGGUGAGUAACACGUGGAUAACCUACCUAUAAGACUGGGAUAACUUCGGGAAACCGGAGCUAAUACCGGAUAAUAUAUUGAACCGCAUGGUUCAAUAGUGAAAGACGGUUUUGCUGUCACUUAUAGAUGGAUCCGCGCCGCAUUAGCUAGUUGGUAAGGUAACGGCUUACCAAGGCAACGAUGCGUAGCCGACCUGAGAGGGUGAUCGGCCACACUGGAACUGAGACACGGUCCAGACGCCUACGGGAGGCAGCAGUAGGGAAUCUUCCGCAAUGGGCGAAAGCCUGACGAAGCAACGCCGCGUGAGUGAUGAAGGUCUUCGGAUCGUAAAACUCUGUUAUUAGGGAAGAACAAAUGUGUAAGUAACUAUGCACGUCGUGACGGUACCUAAUCAGAAAGCCACGGCUAACUACGUG
rnacentral:rRNA from 1 species